CGAGGCUUGGAAUCAAGAUGCUGUGGGCCUCGCCAGCGUUGAACUGGUGAUCACGGGGAUCUCCAUACACCAGUCGGUAUAGCCGCGCCACUCUAAAGUAGGCCGCCGGGGGUAGCUCGCCAUCGCCCCGGUGCUCCGAAUUUUAUGUGAGUGGACGCGCCGCACGCCGUGGAGGGGUGAAGCAUGUUGGACUUGCUUCAGAAGGUGCGGAACGCCG
rnacentral:ncRNA from 1 species